rnacentral:rRNA from 1 species
AGCCUACGGGAGGCAGCAGUGGGGAAUAUUGGGCAAUGGGCGCAAGCCUGACCCAGCAACGCCGCGUGAAGGAAGAAGGCUUUCGGGUUGUAAACUUCUUUUAUCAGGGACGAAGCAAGUGACGGUACCUGAUGAAUAAGCCACGGCUAACUACGUGCCAGCAGCCGCGGUAAUACGUAGGUGGCAAGCGUUAUCCGGAUUUACUGGGUGUAAAGGGCGUGUAGGCGGGAGUGCAAGUCAGAUGGGAAAACUAUGGGCUCAAACAAUAGCCUGCAUUUGAAACGG